rnacentral:lncRNA from 1 species
UCAUCGCAGCAAAAUAGUGGAAGCAACUUCAAUGCCUGUUGGAAGGAGUUGGUUAUAUAAGUCCAUCCGUGGAAGAGCUAACUUAAUUGAGUUUUUUCCAUGCCAGAUGGAGUCUCACUGUCACCCAGGCUGGAGUGCAGUGGCGCGAUCUCAGCUCACGGUAGCCUCAACCUCCUGGGGUCAAGCAAUCUUCCCACCUCGGCCUCCCAAGUAGCUGGGACUACAGGUUGAAGCAAUCCUCCCACCUCACCCUCCAGAGUAACUAAGACUACAGGCCCGAAUCACCAUGUCAAGUAACGGGUCUCACUAUGUUGCCCCGGCCAGUCUAGAACUCCUAGCCUCAAGUGAUCCUCCUGUUUUGGCCUCCUGAGUUGCUGGGAUUACAGGCAAGAGCUAAUGCACCCCUCCCAAAUUUUUUGAAAUACAGUAUCCUUCAAAACACUAUGUACAGCGUAAAUAUGUAUUAAAUACAUAUGUAUGUGUGUAUAAUCUAUAAUAAUAGCAGUUAAAUUCUUCCUUGUGUUUUUGUGAAUUUUCCAAAUUUCCAACACUUGAACAUAUCAAAAAAGUAUAUUUUUAUGGGGAUUAGAA